GGAAAUAAAACAACUCCAGGGCAAGGAGCUUCCGGUUCAAGCCCGCCUCUCCUCCCCACCCUGAUCCCCCAGUGUUGCCGGACUAUCCUUGCCCCAUGCCCGAGUCCCGUUUCGGCAAACCGAGAGGGUUUGUCGUGACCCUCGGCCUUGAACGUUCAUGCCGAGUGCACUUGGAGACACGUGUGAGGACAGAGCUGUAAGCAGCCUCCCUGUGCCUCUGCAUUUGGCCUGCUGAUUCUGCCCGUCUUCACAUCUCGUCUCCCUUCCAGGCCUUCAGGACGGGAAAAUACCACCACCACCACCCACACCGUGAAGGAUUUCAGCGCAGUGUUCACCUUCGAACCACUUUGGGUCAAGGGAGAAAACCCGAGAAGCAGGCCUGAGUGCCCACCCAGUGUUCCCACUGAGGACGAAGCGGGGGUCCCUAUCCACACUGCUGGGAUGGAUCCACUGGUGCAGCAAGCAGCCAUGGAGAGCAAACAUCAGGGUCCCGAAACCCUCCAAACCAGCACAACCUAAUACCAAGCACUGAUUCGAAAAGUUACAAAUGCUGUAUUUAUAAGAAAAAAGAAAGCAACAUGGACUAAGGUUUAAUUUUGUAGUUAGUUAUUAAAUAAAAGUAGCUUUUGAAUUGAU
rnacentral:lncRNA from 1 species